rnacentral:snRNA from 1 species
AGCUUUGCGCAGUGGCAGUAUCGUAGCCAAUGAGGUUUAUCCGAGGCGCAAUUAUUGCUAAUUAAAAGUAUCUCAAGCAAUACAGAUAAAGCCUUAUCAAGAAAAUGGCCAGAUAUGGU